ensembl:lncRNA
AACACAUCCUACUAAUCUCUGUACAGGAAAGACUGAUGUGAAACUGAUAGCAAUCCGAAUUGUGUGGCUGUGGAGAAGUCUGUGGAAGAGACACACAGAGCUACAUUUUUUAACCUGAUUUGAAUGAUUUUCUGUUUUAAUUAUAGUUCAUUUUCAACCCUGGAAGUACUACGAUUGAUGAUGAUUUAUUCAAUGUACAAAAGAAACAUGAACUGUAGUUUUAUUGCACUUCCUCAAGAAAUCAUUCACAGCCGUGUGAAUGAUUUGUAGCACACGGGACCAUCUGCCGUCAGUAACUAAGAUCCAGACCAAAGUCACAGACUGGAGCAACCUAAGGUCACGUGUCUUGUCCAGGGACACUUGGACACUAGAAAAGUGUCCAAGGACCUCUGAUUAAAGGGUGACCCUGCUCUCCACCUUGUCACAGUUUCCAUAAAACAAAACACUGGAACAACUGAACUAUGAAGUGUGAUUGUGUGGUUAAUAUUUCAGGAAACAAGGUCAUGGAACUUAACACAGAUACAGCAUUACCAAGCCUCACCAUAAAGCAGACGGGAGGAACAAACAGCACAGCAUAGAUCUAUUGAGAUGUAAAGCAGGGAAAGAUUUCCUCAGUACAUCCCACAAUAAGCUGUCCUGGUUUACUGAAAGGACCAGAUGUCCCUCGUGGGGCUCACUAGAGCGGCAGGUGCUUCGCCGAGACUGGAAGUGUGUCAUCCUACUGCGUCUGUGCGUGUUCCACUUCCCCCCCAUCGCUUAGAUGACGGAGCAGGAACCCAAUGCAACACUUCUGUCCUGAGGGUGGCGCUAGAGGAGGUGAUCUCAUUGAAACAGGGGACAUUUCUGUGAUUACGGAGCAUUGGCAGUAAAUGUAAAUGUGUAUGUUUCGUUACGUUCUCAUCCAUUCAGAGUUCGUAUACGUGCACCCUACUUACGGAAAACCAUCAAGCUGAUUCUGACAUUUUACAAGCUGAGUUCCCUGGAUAGUGUUUGGAUAACACAGUGUGAUAGCUGAUACUGAAAGUAAAAGUAGUUCCUUAUCUUACAAGUUCUCACAGUUCAAAGAGGCCGCCAGGCUUUGAUGUCCACAUCUAGUCUGUAUUUUCCUCGUAGACAAUCCUGCUAGGGGUGUAUAAUCAUUGUUGGGCUAAAUAACCUUCUACUAUGUCCACGAUAAUCAUUCAUCAUGUACUAAUCUGUGUCAGAGGGGAGGAGGUUGGUGCAGAAUGUCCUUCAGUAAACAUUGUUAACUUUACCGUCUCAAUCCCUCCUUCGACCUCAUCAGCACAGCACGAGGUCUCAGAUAGUUCUGCUCCAUUUACAGUCAAACAGGCCGUAGAGCAGAGUAUGCUUUAGGGCGGGGCUACCUCGUGAUUGACAGGUCUCCACCACAGUGUUCUCUGGUUCGGAGAGAACAUUUCCCAACACAUCCGGUGGAUGAAAGUUGAUUGUAACUCACUGGCGGUUUGGUUGUUCCCUCCGUUCACUGCGUCCGGGGUUAAUGUCAAAACACAAAUUAAGAUGCUUAAACGAAGUAGAUUUACAGUUUGGCUCUUGGACAGUAGUCAGCGUUUGUUGUGUUAAUCCAAAUGACGUAACGGUAAUAAUUGGUGCUUCUCUUCGUAGCAGGAACGUCAGUCAUCGGGCCUCCAGCGGCAUUUUUGUUCCAGCGACUCAAUGCAACAAGUGUUGGACGCUGUCGCCUUCUGCAGAGGAGGAGGCUCCACUGUGACGUAAUCCAGCACAGGCCUUUGUUCCAUCUUCUAUUUAAUGCUAAUCCACGGAUUUUCUGCAAGUCUGAUGGGUGUAAAUACUGUCCUGUAAUGCUGCUUUAAAUGGCUUUCGUUCAAAGAGAAAACUGAAGCCACGACACGGGACUCCGGCCAGUUUGUGGCACAUAAUCAAACUCAAAGUCAUUCAUCCAUCACUAGUGCGACACCUUCACUUGUGAGACUUAAUCCAACAGUCUCCAAUAGACUAAAAUGUAAAGAAUCACUCAGAACUUUCACAAAGCCUCCAAAUUUGACACCCAGCUGUAAAUCAAUUGGAUCCAUGCUGUGUGGAAUGCAAAUGACCGUAAUGUGAUGAACAAAGAAUCAUUUGGCCUACUUAAACGCAGACCUGCAUCCUGUGUGUGUGUGUGUGUACAUCGCACACGCCAUUGUUCAGUGGAAUCUGUCUGGCCCGUAUUGUCCUUGUGUGGCGGCAUUGUUCGGCCCAGUCAGUUUGCGUUCCUGUGCACGUCGACGGCCAUUAUGCCGCCGGAGGACCGAGGGCUGUCAGAUCGAUCGGGGCGUUGGGGGAGGGGGGGGGGAGACAAAGAGGCAGCACCGCUUGGCUUGAAGAACGCCGCGAUGGGCUGAGAAGGGGGGAAAAAGGGAGAUGAUGGGUACGAGAAAAGCAGAACGCGUGGACCUAUCUUCUUCUAAAGGAGAGAAGUUCAACCGUUCAAAUGUUCCACACUGGAGUUCCUCUCAUGUCUUUAUUGGUGAUACUGUACAACAACUACACGUUAACCCAAGGACAAAAAAAGACAACUCAUAGAUACUUCAAUAAUACAUAAAACAAUAAGAAAUGCAAUAUUGUGGUUGACUGGUGUGUCGUAUUGGCAAUAAGGUAAAUACAUGAAGCUGUUUGGACAGGAUUUAGAUGCAUAUGUCCACAUAGAAGUAACUGUACUAGAAUCACGGCAGAGUAACCUGUCAAUCACAGUAAACACAUCCUGGUGUCGUUGACGCUAAUAGAGCAUCAUAUGAUCAACCAGAGAUUGAGUCCACCAUGUUUACGUCAUGGACUUAGAGGAAGGCGGGGAGACGUGUCCAUGAGAGGCAGGAGGGCCGCAUGGCGUCAGAAGGCGCGCCUGCUCUACCGUAUGGGGUCUAGUGUAUGGGGUCUACUCUAUGGGGUCUACUAUAUGGGGUCUAGUGUAUGGGGUCUACUCUAUGGGGUCUACUGUAUAGGGUCUACUGUAUGAGGUCUACUGUAUAGGGUCUACUGUAUGGGGUCUACUGUAUGGGGUCUACUACUGUAUGGGGUCUACUGUAUGAGGUCUACUGUAUGAGGUCUACUCUAUGGGGUCUACUGUAUGGGGUCUACUGUAUGAGGUCUACUGUAUGAGGUCUACUCUAUGGGGUCUACUGUAUGAGGUCUACUGUAUGGGGUCUACUGUAUGAGGUCUACUGUAUGGGGUCUACUAUAAGGGGUCUACUGUAUGGGGUCUACUGUAUGAGGUCUACUGUAUGGGGUCUACUAUAAGGGGUCUACUGUAUGGGGUCUACUGUAUGGGGUCUACUGUAUGGGGUCUACUGUAUGGGGUCUACUGUAUGGGGUCUACUGUAUGAGGUCUACUGUAUGGGACCUUUGGGGAGAGAGACAAAGGCAGCACCUGCUGUGGAGCAGCGGUGAGUCUCUCCUGAGAACAUGAGAUGAAUGAUAAUAAUCUGCAUUAACUUUCUUGCUAAAUACAGAUGACAAACACGUAGAGCUCCUUGUGCGACAGAUAGACUUCAGAACAUGUUUAUCAAACAGGCGGUGAGCCAAGGCCAAGCCAGCCAUGGUUCAUUGGACAACUACAAGACUUUGCCCAAAUUACAUGGCACAAGCCAGGCCGGUUGCCAGGCCGGUUGCCAGGCGGGCAGCUGGCAUCAGCUGCGUCAUUGUCUUUGAUCGCGGCGAGAGGAGAAGGCUCAUUCUUCUACGUCCUCUCAGCCUUCAGCUCACACGUCCGCGUCGACACCGCCAAGGAAAGAAAGUGGGGCACAAACAAGGGGGACAGUUUGGCUGGAAACGGCCGCGCCACGUCCAUCGGCUCAUGAGACGAGGGACUUCCUGAGGGGACGAUUCCGGCCACACUAUGACGUCAUGUGCACACCACCUUUUAUAUUUCCACCAUGUUUUCAUGCUAACGCUAGACCCGAUCCAGAGGGGCCACGUGUCACUCAAAUGAGACAAUAACAUCACACCCGGACGUAUUAAAGUGUCAAUAUGUCACACAGACACACCUCUCGUGCUCAGUGUGACGCAUUCAUGAGGAGGUUCUUUCCAGGGAACUGAUAACAUCA